CACGUGGGAUGUUAACCAGGGCCACCUAGCAGCAAAUGCCCAGGCUGCUUCCAGGACUGAUAUUAUGAAGCUUAGAGCAGAGCAACUUGCCAUCAGGAAGGCUACUGUCUGCCAAGACGCCAGCACGCCCUGCCACCAGCAAUAAUUGCCAACAAGAAUAGCAGACCGUGUAAGAUAAGAAAGAUUGUAAGCUGUUCAGCCAACUAGAAUCGUCUGUGCUAAUGACUGGCAGGCAUCACAGGUUCCUUAUUUCAUGGGAUAACCAUCAGAAGCACCAUCUCAGAUGUGCUUGCCAUGAGGAUCAAAUGAGAUGCCAUGAGAAGAUGACACAAGGCGUCCAAGCUCUGGGAAGCUGCUGUGAAAUCCAUGCAGGGACAGGGAAACUGUCAGAGGGAAUUUGGGGGCUAAUACUAGCCAGAAGUCAUACAGUGUAAAAGGAUGCUCUGACAGGCAGCUGACAGUGAACAGCUCUGCACAGGGAGGUUAGUUAAGAGGGCUUGUGGAAUUAUAUUUUUUUUCAUCUGUGGAGGGAGGGGUAUGUAUGUGUGAGAGCAAGUGUGUGUGUGUGCUGCAGGAUGCUAAGGGCAGAGGACAGCCUCAGGUGUCAUCAGUCUCCUUUCACCGAUUCUGAUACAGGGUCUCUGCUGUUUGCCUGUUUGCACAGGCACCAGGGUAACUGUGAGCUACGGGGAAUUCUCUCAUUUCCACUUCCCAUCCAUCCCUCCGCAGAAACACCAAGAGUGCAGAGGUGUGUACUAUCACAUGAGGUUCACAAUGGGUU
rnacentral:lncRNA from 1 species